UGGCUCACAGGCGACGACGGGUAGCCGGCCUGAGAGGGCGACCGGCCACACUGGGACUGAGACACGGCCCAGACUCCUACGGGAGGCAGCAGUGGGGAAUAUUGCACAAUGGGCGAAAGCCUGAUGCAGCGACGCCGCGUGAGGGAUGACGGCCUUCGGGUUGUAAACCUCUUUCAGCAGGGAAGAAGCGAAAGUGACGGUACCUGCAGAAGAAGCGCCGGCUAACUACGUGCCAGCAGCCGCGGCCGAUU
rnacentral:rRNA from 1 species